AACGAACGCUGGCGGCAUGCCUAACACAUGCAAGUCGAACGAGACCUUCGGGUCUAGUGGCGCACGGGUGCGUAACGCGUGGGAAUCUGCCCUUAGGUUCGGAAUAACUUCGGGAAACUGAAGCUAAUACCGGAUGAUGACGUAAGUCCAAAGAUUUAUCGCCUAAGGAUGAGCCCGCGUUGGAUUAGCUAGUUGGUGAGGUAAAGGCUCACCAAGGCGACGAUCCAUAGCUGGUCUGAGAGGAUGAUCAGCCACACUGGGACUGAGACACGGCCCAGACUCCUACGGGAGGCAGCAGUGGGAAUAUUGGACAAUGGGCGAAAGCCUGAUCCAGCAAUGCCGCGUGAGUGAUGAAGGCCUUAGGUUGUAAAGCUCUUUUACCCGGGAUGAUAAUGACAGUACCGGGAGAAAUAAGCUCCGGCUAACUCCGUGCCAGCAGCCGCGGUAAUGUGACUACUG
rnacentral:rRNA from 1 species